GACGAACGCUGGCGGUGCGCCUAACACAUGCAAGUCGAACGAGCGAGAGAGAGCUUGCUUUCUCGAGCGAGUGGCGAACGGGUGAGUAACGCGUGAGGAACCUGCCUCAAAGAGGGGGACAACAGUUGGAAACGACUGCUAAUACCGCAUAAGCCCACGACCCGGCAUCGGGUAGAGGGAAAAGGAGCAAUCCGCUUUGAGAUGGCCUCGCGUCCGAUUAGCUAGUUGGUGAGGUAACGGCCCACCAAGGCGACGAUCGGUAGCCGGACUGAGAGGUUGAACGGCCACAUUGGGACUGAGACACGGCCCAGACUCCUACGGGAGGCAGCAGUGGGGAAUAUUGCACAAUGGGGGAAACCCUGAUGCAGCGACGCCGCGUGGAGGAAGAAGGUCUUCGGAUUGUAAACUCCUGUUGUUGAGGAAGAUAAUGACGGUACUCAACAAGGAAGUGACGGCUAACUACGUG
rnacentral:rRNA from 1 species